UCAAUGCAAGCCUGAAGAGAAAGCAAUUUCUUCCUCCGAAGCCAUGGCAUAUGAGUUGUACAGAAAUACCACUUUGGGAAACAGUCUUCAGGAGAGCCUAGAUGAGCUCAUACAGUCUCAACAGAUCACCCCCCAACUUGCCCUUCAAGUUCUACUUCAGUUUGAUAAGGCUAUACAUUCAGCAUUGGCUCAAAGGGUCAGGAACAGAGUCAAUUUCAGGGGUUCUCUAAAUACGUACAGAUUCUGCGAUAAUGUGUGGACUUUUGUAUUGAAUGAUGUUGAAUUCAGAGAGGUGACAGAACUUAUUAAAGUGGAUAAAGUGAAAAUUGUAGCCUGUGAUUGUAAAAAUACUGGCUCCAAUACUACAGAAUGA